rnacentral:rRNA from 1 species
UACGGAGGGUGCAAGCGUUAAUCGGAAUUACUGGGCGUAAAGCGUGCGCAGGCGGUUUGUUAAGUCUGCUGUGAAAUCCCCGAGCUCAACUUGGGAAUUGCAGUGGAUACUGGCAGGCUGGAGUAUGGUAGAGGAAGGUGGAAUUCCCGGUGUAGCAGUGAAAUGCGUAGAGAUCGGGAGGAACACCAGUGGCGAAGGCGGCCUUCUGGAUCAAUACUGACGCUCAUGCACGAAAGCGUGGGGAGCAAACAGG